AAAUACUGCUAAAUGGAGUUUGAACUGGUCAUAGAGAGAAUUGAGGACGGAUAUUUGGAGAGAUUUGAGGAGAGAAUAUUGGGAUUUAAGGAGGUUGUUGUUGUGGAGUGAUAAUAGUAGAAAAUUAAGGGAUUUUGGGGUUAUCAAUUGGGAUUUUUAUUUUAUUUUCAAUUCUUUUUCAGUUCUUUUCAAAAAUUUUAGACGUUUCAAUUCUCCCAAUCCCCUGUCGAUUUUCUUUCUGCUAAUUUUCCUUUCUCUUUUCCUCUCUUU
rnacentral:lncRNA from 1 species